CAAAAUCGGGACUGGGCGCGUUCAUAGGCAUCAGAAGGGAGGAUGGAAGAAGCAGAGGUGGUCCAAACCUCGUCGAUGUACUCAACGAUGAUUAGAGACUCACAGAUGGGAUUAUGACCAUGGAUGAGGACUGGGACUUUCUUAUAAACAGGGUUAGAUUUGAGAAGAAGGUCGCUUUUGGAUUCCGGCAAAUUUUCCUCAUGGUUCUCGUAGUUGACAGAUUUUAGGUGAAGUGCAAUCUUCACCCUCAGCACGAAUGGGCUUGCCCAGGUGCCCAAUACCAUCACGUUACUCUCAGCCAUAUCUUCUUUCUUCUCUGCACUAAUCUUUAUGUUUAUAUCGUGAAGUGCCGGGUCUCACACUGAUAUAUGAGACUUGUCGGAGAUAUUGCCCUAUUGGUGACGGCUAUUGGUGAGAAUUGGGGCUCACGCAAGAUGUGAACCAGAGAUUCCCUUUUUUCUUGUUUUUAACUUUCAAAAACUGACGUAUUAUCAAACGUCGAUAUACGCGAGACUUCUUAAAGAAUAAAAUAAUCAUAAAAACUUUGUGUAUAUCCGUUAUAAAAGAAUUAUUUGUUUAUUUCUUCGUCUAUCAAUUUUAACUCGAUUGAUAAAAAAAUUAUUACUAAUGCAGGAGAGAGUGGAUUGGAAUAAGUUAAAAAUAUAUUAUCCUUUUAUUUAUUUAUGGGUUAGAUAUUUAUGGGUUAGAAGGAGUUAUGAGUAAUAUUAAGUCUUCUGUAAAACUUUAAAUAUAUCAAAAUUUAUAAUAAGAUUAUUAAAUCUAAUGGUCAAUCAUUUCAACAUUUCCCUAAAUUUCAAAGGAAAAAGUUUAUUGCAUUCAAAGCUUAUUCUAUAUUUUAGGUAAAAUAUUAAGAAUAAAUGAGACGUUCGUUCUUUUAACUCGCGGCCAUACCUGUCUUUUUCCCUACAUUAUUAACAAAAUGAUAAAUUUGUAAUUCUGAUCCCUCUAUUUUUGUAAAUUAUAUAAAAAUAGCUAAAAUUCAAUUUCAAUCCCUAUACUACAUUCAGAUUUGAGAUUUAAUCUUUAUGCUUUAAUUUUUUACUUGUUUAUAAUGUCAUUAGAUAGCCUAAAUACUUUAUUCUAACUAGAAAUUCUAUCACACACCAGAGGCGAAACUAGAGGAAAAUGAAAACUUUUCUAUUUAGAUCAUUUAAAAUUUUUAAAAAUUUAAAUUGGUAAAGGUAAAAUUACAUUUUGGUACCCCUAAAAAUAUAAAAAUUUGAUUUAAUCCUUUAAAAUUUGUAAAGAUAUAGGUUAUUAAACUGGUGAAAUUACAUUUCUGCUAUCAUAAAAAUUAAAAUUUAAUUUUGGCCCCCUAUAAAAUUUUUCUAGUUUCGCCCUUAUCACACACGUAUGCAUGUGAAAACCACAUAUUUUAAAUACAUAUGUGUAUUUGAAAAUAACAUACCAUGAAUAAUGAAACUGUAACACCCCUAACUCGUAUCCAUCGUCGGAUUAGGGUUACGAGGCAUUACCGACCAAAAUACAGCUCAAAUCAGUCAUUCAUUUCUAAACAUACAAUAAGUAAUAUUAACUAACAUACAUCAAAGUCAUAUUUUACUUUCUUGUACCGAAUUAUCAAAAUACAAUUAUAACAUUACUAAACUCGAAUGUCCACAAAUCAUUUAUACUAAAUUCGAACAUAUGAAUCAUAAAGCCAAUCCAAAUCAAUCAUACUUUAAUAGUCAUGUAUCACAAAUAAAGCAUAUCUCAAAAUUCAACCAAUUUCAAUCCGAUUACCAAAUCAAAUGUUUCAUCAAGUUAACUUACGAAAAACCAAAUUGAAUUAGUUCCAUAAUUACCAAAUUCAACCCAUAUGGUCAUCAAUUUAUAACAAUCAUACAUGUGUACCACUUAACCAACUAACCAAACAUAUUUUACUAUUAUAAAACAUCAUAUCAUAAUACAUAUACAUUAUAAUUCUAUUAGCCGAACCUUAUGACUAUAUAAUAAGGCAUUUAGAUACCUAAAUAAGUAUCAAUCAUAUGUCACUUUCAUAUACUUAGCUUACAACAAUACAUGCCAUAUAACCAAGUCACAAAGUAUAUAAAUACUGAAAUUAUUAGCUGGAUAGUGUGAUGCAAUCUCCGUCGAGUUCCAACCCGAGCGAAUGUCCCAAACACUGUAAAACAUAAAAAAAAACACCAAGUAAGCUAUAAAGCUUAGUAAGCUCGUAAUAUAAUAACUCAUAUUACUAAAUAAUCACAUUACAAACAAUGGCAUCAAGUCAUAAUAUAGCUCAUUUGAUUUCACAAUUCUACCUCAUAUUCAUGCACAUGAUUAAACAAGAUUUCUACGAGUUUAUUCAUUUCAAAGCUCGUAUGCCUCUUAAACUUCUUAUCACUUCAUUCUCAUUUACAAAUACAUAAACAACAAUAUAUAGCUUUAUUUGAUCCAUUAUUCAUCACAUUUCUAUAGCCGAAAGAAUCAUGUAAAUUAUCGUUAAAUAAUUGUAAUUCUCACUCAAUGUGCCAUAUUCAUAUCAUUAAUACAAUCAUUGUUCAUACCACACAUAUCAUUCAAUUCAUACCUCAUUAUAGCCAAAUAAACACAUUUUGGCAUAAAUAUAAUUAUACACUAAUAAUUCUCAUUAAAUUACCUUCAUUUAACUCUCACAUAGGUUCUGAACGUACCUGUGUUGCUUAAUUCAAUUGAACUUUCAUUCUUGUCUUAACUUUGCGUGAUGAACCAUUCAGAAUUGUUAAAGAUACUCGAAAGUCUCGUAUAUCACAUACAAUGCUAUAUCCAGAUAUGGUCUUACAUGUUAUCACAUAUCGAUGCCAAUAGCCCAGCUAUGGUCUUACACGAAUCAUAUAUCGAUGCCAAUGUCCCAGACAUAGUCUUACACGAAAUCACAUAAAGAUGCCAAUGUCCUAGACAUGGUCUUACACGUAAUCACAUAUAUCGAUGCCAUAUCCCAUAUAUAGUCUUACACAAAGUCUCAUAUAUCGAUGCCAUAGCCCAGCUAUGGUCUUAUACGAAAUCAUGUAAUGCCAUGGUCCAACCACAGUUUUUUCCACCAAUUCGUCUUUCGUUACGAAACGAUUGUGUUCGAUCCUGCAUUUUUACUUAUUUCGAACAUUUAAUUUAAGCUCCACAAUUAAAUCGAUUAUAUGAAUACAUUCAUACUAUCAUUCAUCAAUUACAUAAAUAUACACUGAAGUUCGAUUAUACGAACUUACCUCGAUUGCUAAAACGACAGAAUGGAUCGACUAGUCCGAUACUUUAUCUUUUCUCCAAUCUAGAUCCGUAUUUCGCUUUUCUCAAUCUAAAUAUAAUCAAAAUUAGCUUAUUUAAUUAUCUCUCUAUUCAAUUUAAUCCAAAAUUUACCUUAAAGCAUAUUUGCACUUUUGCCCCAUAAUUUCACAUUUUUACAAUUUAGUCAUUAUCACAUAAAAUAACAAUUUCAUGAAAUUAAACACAAAUCCAAGCUAGCCAAAUUUUCCAUAUAUCACUAGCAGCCCAUAUUUUCAAUUUAUUUUACAUUUUAACAACUAAAUUUCCACAUUUCACAAUUUAAUCCCUAAUUGACAUUUUUAUCAAAAAUCACUUUAUAAAAGAUAAAAAUCUAACAUCAAAUAUUCAUAUUUCAUCAAAAAAAUAUCAAAGAGCUCAAGUAUUCAACAAUGAAAAUUCACAAAAUCUUUAACAGUUUUAGAAACGGAGGUACGAGUUAAUUAGAUUACGAAGCAACAAUCUCAAAAACGUAGAAAUUAUUAAAAACCGAGCAAAAAUCACUCACCAGUUUGUCUUCAAAGUUUGGCCCAAUAACAAGCUCUCCCAUGGCUGAUUUUAGGUUGACAUUUCGGUGAAGAUGGAUAGUGGAAGAAGAUGGCACAAUUUGUUUUAUUUAAUUUAACAUAUAAUGCCUUUUUACUUAUUUAACCUUUAAUAACCUUAAUAACUACACCAAAUGCCACUCCACUAACAUCCAAUAUCUCAAUAAUGGGUUAUUUAUCACAUAAGGACCUUCAAUUUAAAAUUCUAUAGCUAUUAGACACCUUUAACAUAUAGAACACAACUUUUGCACUUUACGCGAUUUAGUCCUUUUUAUCAAAUUAAGCACCCAAUUGAUAAAAUUUCUUCACGAAAUUUUUACACAAUCAUAAUAUCAUACUGUAGAUAUUAAAAUAAUAAUAAAAUAAAAUUUUUGAUUUCGGAUUUGUGGUCCCGAAACUACUGUUCCGACUAGACCCAUAAAUCGGGUUGUUACAAAAACGUAUUGUUUGAAACUAAUUAAGAAUAAUACAUGAAAUAUCUAUGGUAAUAAAAUGAAAAAAAUUAUAUUAAAUUGUGAUUUAAAUGAAGUUUAAACACAUAAAUACAUCAUAUUAAGUAUAUUAAAUGAGUACAAUUAUUUAUUAUGGUACUAUCAUCAAUCAUGAGUUGGCGUUAAGUUAACUUGUGGCACUAACUCAAUCAGCAAUAUUAAUAAUAAUAAAUUCUAUUAUAUGCGUAUGCAUGUAAAAAUCACGUAUUUUAAAUACAGAGGUAUUUUUGAAAAUAACAUAAAAUAAAUAAUGAAAUGUAUUGAAACUAAAUAAUAAUAACACAUUAAAUAUCUAUGGAAAUAAAAUAGAAAAUUUAGAUUAAAUUGUGAGUAAAAUAAAAUUUAAAAACAUAAAUGUAUCAUAUUAAAAAUACUAAAUGAGUAUAAUAACUUGUGCAUAUUAAAAUAAAAAUGUAUAAAAAAAUUAAAAUAAUGAUUUGGUUAAGUGGUAAAAUUAAUGUUUUACUAAUUCAAUUUGCAUGUGUUCAAAUCCUAUUAUAAGCAUAUUCAAAGAAUAAAACUUAUUUUAAUUAUGAAAAGACAUUUUCGUAAUUUUCCUACUGAGUUGGUGUCUGGUUGACACUUGUGAUAUCAUUCAGGGAUCUUAAUUUAACAAAGAACAUCAACAAGCUAAAUUUAACAAAAAAAAAAUUUAAUGAUAUUAACAACUAGACUUAAAUUUUUAAAUUUGAAAUAUAAAUGGACAAAAUUCUAGAAAAUAAAAGUAUAGGGACUGAAUUUCAAUGUAUGCAAAGAAUAAAAAAAAAAACUAGGAGUAUAUUGUAACAUUUAUAUUUUAAACCUAUAAUUUAAUAAAAAAUAGUUAACUCAAAAAUAAUUUAUGCUUAUUGGAAAAUAUGCUCUUUUUGACAUAAUGUUUAGAACUAUUUAUAGUCUCUCCUCCCCAACCCAAAAAUAAGAAGAUAAUACAUUUCAGCGCACUCAAACCCACAUCCUCUUACAUUAACAACAAUGUCUUUGUCAAUCGAGCUAAGACUCAAUUAGCUUGUUUGAAUGUUUCUUUUUUCUUUUCUUUUUUUCUUCUAAAUAAAAUGGUUAAUUUGAAUUUAGUCUCUUUACUAUAAUUUGAUUUUUAUAGUUUUUUAUUCUUCGAAAUAUAUCUAUACUAUUAAUAUAUUUUUUUAUUGAGUUAGUGUCACAGAUAUCUACUUGGUUAGGAAAGUAUGGAAAUAUUCUUUGAUGGUAUUUUAGUCUUUUCAUUUUAACAAAAACUAAUAAAAAUAUACAUACAAUGAGAUUUGAACUCACGUCAAUUAAAGCAAUAAAACUUUAAAUAUAUCAUUCAACCAAAGUUUUAUUUUAAUGUUUUUUAAUACAUUUAUUAAAAUAUGGACAAUUUGCUAUCUCCACUUGUGUUAUAUAUUGAUAAUGUUAUUAAUUGAGUUGGUGUCACAAGUUAACUUGACUCUAACUUAUAAUUAAUGAUAAAACCAUGAUAAAUAAUUAGUAUGCAUUUAGUAUUAUUUAUCUGAUGUAUUUGUGUUUAAAUGUCGUUUUACUCAUGAUUUAAUCUAAAUUUUUUUAUUUUAAUAUCCUGCAUAUUUCAUGGGUUAUUAUGACUAAUUAGUUUCAAAUCAUACGUUUCAUUAUUUAUUGUAAAUGCUUUUUAAACACAUAUAUGUGUUCUAUAUAAAUACGCAUGUGAUAAGAUUUCUAAUAACUAUUUAUUAUAUGUUAUUUUUAAACAUAUUUUAUUCUAAAUUUAUGGUUUUUUUACAUGCACACGUGUGUCACCUUUCUAUAUGUAGAGAAAAAUCCCAUAUUUGAAAAGGAAAAGGAAACAGUAUUCUAUAAAAUAAAAGCAGUUCACACUGUCCAAAAUGCAAAUUACAGACCACAAAAGCAUUUGCAAAUUGCAGGGUCCAACAUCAAAUCUGCCACUAGCCACCUAAACCACCGUCAACCCACUACCACAUAAUUCCGACGAAUAUCACCUUUAUCAGGUGAAGAGCUACUUUACGUCUUCUUCCUUUUUCCUCUCUAAAAAAGGGUUUUUAAUAACAAUUUAGUUUAAAAUGAGAUUUAUAAUCAAUACAAAUUAAAAAAAAGAAAAUUAAUUUUAUCAAAUAAUAUGAAAAAAGUAAUGAUGUCAUACACAUAUAUCUGUAAAAACUCACCAUUUUAUUCAUAAAAGGACUUAGAAGCAUAAAAUUGUUUUCUUUAUAAAAAUAAUUAUUAUUUUAUUUUCUAAAUGAUAAUAACAAUUCUCACCCAAGUUCCACUCAAUGACAAAAGAAGAUAAGUAACACAUACUCCAAACUUUGAUUUCAAUUGCUGGCUGCCGUAGCUUUCAAGACCCUCGCCCCAAGCUUCAACGCAAAUUCCACAAGCUUGUCGACGUCGGGUGAAACAUCCUUCACCGCCUCAUGGGCGGAGAAGCAAUCCGCCCACUGCACCAACCCGGGCGUUUUGAUUUCGGAAAUCAGCUUCAUCUCACUCAAUUUCUCGAUCACUUCAAUCCACGCCAACAAGCUACCGAACACUAUGUCCACGAACCCAAUAUUUUCCCCACCAAAGAAAGCUUUCCCUUUGCUCAAUUUCACAAAGGCUUCCUCCAACAGCGCCAUCCCUUCUGAGACUUCGGCCAUUGCUGCCCUUUUAUCUUCCUCCGUAGCACCAAACAACACUCUUCUUAAGGCAGUGGAAAACUACAUCACAUGCAAAAAAACAUAAAGAAACGUCAUGUUUAUCACGGAUGUAAUGCAAUGUUAUCAAAACUUAUCACGGAUGUAAUGCAAUGUUAUCAAAACAGUCUUUUAUUACGAACCUUAUCUUCGACAUAGGCCGCCCAAAAUCGGGACUGGGCGCGUUCAUAGGCAUCAGAAGGGAGGAUGGAAGAAGCAGAGGUGGUCCAAACCUCGUCGAUGUACUCAACGAUGAUUAGAGACUCACAGAUGGGAUUAUGACCAUGGAUGAGGACUGGGACUUUCUUAUAAACAGGGUUAGAUUUGAGAAGAAGGUCGCUUUUGGAUUCCGGCAAAUUUUCCUCAUGGUUCUCGUAGUUGACAGAUUUGAGGUGAAGAGCAAUCUUCACCCUCAGCACGAAUGGGCUUGCCCAGGUGCCCAAUACCAUCACGUUACUCUCAGCCAUAUCUUCUUUCUUAUC
rnacentral:lncRNA from 1 species